GGGGGCGAUUAGGAUUCGACGCCGGUAUCAAGACCCUAGGUGCAUGCCGAGAGGGUAGUAACUCUCGUUAAUCAAUUACUGCAACUUUUAUAGUUGCCAACGACGAUAGAUACGCCCUAGCAGCUUAAAGGCUUGCUAGCGAUUGCUGCCGGGAUGCCCGUAAACUGGUUUUUAGCAAUCGUCAUCUAGAACGGGAUCGCUGGUGGAGCGCGCUUGACGCGAAGCGGCUAAAAAUUAUCAAGCUCGCCCAAACCACCCUGCUCGUCGGGCCGGUACGGGUUAACUCAAUAGACGAAGCUAUGCAUGUAGAGCCGAAGGCUGCGAACUGACGGACGGGGGUUCAAAUCCCCCCGCCUCCACCA
rnacentral:tmRNA from 1 species